rnacentral:SRP_RNA from 1 species
CCCGGGCACGAUGCCACGUGCCUGUAGUCCCAGCCACUCUGGAGGCUGAGGUGGGAGGAUCGCUUGAGCCCAGGAAUUCUGGGCUGUAGAGCACUAUGCUGAUCCAUCGGGUGACCGCACUAAGUUCAGCAUCAAUAUGGUGACCUCCCCGGAGCGGGGGACCACCAGGUUGCCUAAGGAGGGGUGAACCGGCCCAGGUUGGAAACGGAACAGGUCAAAACUCCCGUGCUGAUCAUUAGUGGGAUCGCACCUGUGAAUAGCCACUGCCCUCCAGCCUGGGCAACAUAGCAAGACCCCAUCUCU